rnacentral:rRNA from 1 species
UCUGGCAGUAAUAGCGGAGAGGACACACCUGUUCCCAUGCCGAACACAGCAGUUAAGCUCUCCAGCGCCGAUGGUAGUUGGGGUUUUACCCCUGCAAGAGUAGGACGCCGCCAGGC